CCUAUGGGGCGCAGCAGGCGCGAAACCUUCACAAUGUGCGAAAGCACGAUGAGGGGAUCCCAAGUGCUCGCUCGUAAGACUCAGCUGUUUCUUAGUCUAAAAAGCAUAGAGAGUAAGGGCUGGGUAAGACCGGUGCCAGCAGCCGCGGUAA
rnacentral:rRNA from 1 species